CAAUAGCGUAUAUUAAAGUUGUUGCAGUUAAAAGCUCGUAGUUGGAUUUCUGGUUUGAUGCCCUGGCCCGCUGCCAUUUUGGUAGUGUGUGCCGGUUGUGCGUCUGCCAUCCUUCUAGGGAACGUUCCUUCUCUUCACUGAGCCGGGUUCGUGAUCUAGAUCGUUUACUUUGAAAAAUUAGAGUGUUUAAAGCAGGCUUUUGCUAUGAAUACAUUAGCAUGGAAUAAUAAUCUAGGACUUCGGUGGCUAUUUUGUUUGGUUUCUUGGAACUGAAGUAAAUGAUUGUAUAGGGAUAGUUGGGGGUUGGCUAGUAUUGAGCGGCCAGAGGUGAAAUUCUUGGAUUCGCUCAAGACUAACUUAUGCGAAAGCAUUCACCAA
rnacentral:rRNA from 1 species